rnacentral:tmRNA from 1 species
GGGGCUGUCUGGAUUUGACGGCGAGACGAAAUGGUACAUAAGCACGCGGAGGCUCGAUGGCUACCUCCUUAAUCUGAGCUUUCAAACAAUUAAUUGGCAACAAUCAGUAUGCUCUCGCUGCCUAACCGAAGCAUAGUAGGUUACUGGCUUUAUCCCCUUACAAGGUAGGGGGACGAGACGUCGCUCAAGGGAUGUUGUUCCGAAUCUUCUUGAUCAAGCGGCGCAGGCAAAUCGGAAAUAGUCUUACGGAAGCCUCGGCUGUGGGAUGAAAAUUUUGAGGAUAAGGUAUCAGUUGGUGGUCCAGGUCUUGCUGAUAUUCGAAAACCGAAGGCUGGAAUAAGCGUGUAGAAAGUGUAUGGUUUCCUUGUGCGGACGUGGGUUCGACUCCCACCAGCUCCACA